GACGAACGCUGGCGGCGUGCUUAACACAUGCAAGUCGAACGGUAAGGCCCUUCGGGGUACACGAGUGGCGAACGGGUGAGUAACACGUGGGUGAUCUGCCCUGCACUUCGGGAUAAGCCUGGGAAACUGGGUCUAAUACCGGAUAGGACCACUGCCUGCAUGGGUGGUGGUGGAAAGCUUUUGCGGUGUGGGAUGGGCCCGCGGCCGAUCAGCUUGUGGGUGGGGUGAUGGCCUACCAAGGCGAGGCCGGGUAGCCGGCCUGAGAGGGUGACCGGCCACACAGGGACUGAGAUACGGCCCAGGCUCCUACGGGAGGCAGCAGUGGGGAAUAUUGCACAAUGGGCGCAAGCCUGAUGCAGCGACGCCGCGUGAGGGAUGACGGCCUUCGGGUUGUAAACCUCUUUCAGCACCGACGAAGCGCAAGUGACGGUAGGUGCAGAAGAAGGACCGGCCAACUACGUGCCAGCCGCCGCGGUAA
rnacentral:rRNA from 1 species